GAUGAACGCUGGCGGCGUGCUUAACACAUGCAAGUCGAGCGGACCAAUCUUUAUGAAGCCUUCGGGUGGAUUAAAGUGAGGUUAGCGGCGGACGGGUGAGUAACGCGUGGGCAACCUGCCCUGUGCAGGGGGAUAACACAACGAAAGAGGUGCUAAUACCCCAUGAAACUGUAAUGCCGCAUGGCAUAACAGUCAAAGAUUUAUCGGCACAGGAUGGGCCCGCGUCUGAUUAGCUAGUUGGUGGGGUAGAGGCCUACCAAGGCGACGAUCAGUAGCCGACCUGAGAGGGUGAUCGGCCACACUGGAACUGAGACACGGUCCAGACUCCUACGGGAGGCAGCAGUGGGGAAUAUUGCACAAUGGGCGCAAGCCUGAUGCAGCAACGCCGCGUGAGCGAAGAAGGCCUUCGGGUCGUAAAGCUCUGUCCUAAGGGAAGAAUAAUGACGGUACCUUAGGAGGAAGCCCCGGCUAACUACGUGCCAGCCGCCGCCGUAACAC
rnacentral:rRNA from 1 species